rnacentral:lncRNA from 1 species
AACAGCACUGUGACACGUGUCACAGUGUCACUGUGUUGAGAUGUACUCUUCCUUAGAUGAGCUUUUUCAUCAUGGAAAAUGCAAUCAGUCACACCACACGGAAUAUCUUGCUCCUAAGAGGAGGCUCUAUGAAUUAGCCAUGGACCAUCCAGUACUCACCACUCAUAUCCACUGGUCCCUAGUGCUGUACAGGGUGAAGCCCUUUACGGAUAAUCUUUAAUGCCGAUGCUACCUCCCUCUGUGUGGUUAACACUGUUCAGUGACUCGCCGCGGGGUCGGAGGGGCGAAGUCACUUGGCCGCUUCUAACAACUGGAAAGAAUAAAGCAAAGUUCAAAGCAAGAUCUGCCUCAUACCAAA